CACAACUUGAAUCCAACCAGACUGAACACUGACUCCAGGGACGGACGAGCCUGAAGGACACAGCUGUGAUGACCAUGUUCUGUCUCUUAUGACAAAGCAGAAAUAUAAAACACUGGGUUCUUAUCUAAAGUGUAUCAAAUCAGAUCUCCACCAUGUUGCUGCUGAGGACAUCAGGGACGGACGAGCCUGAAGGACACAGCUGUGAUGACCAAUUGACCAUGUUUUGUCUCUUAUGGCAAAGCAGAAAUAUUAAACACUGGGUUCUUAUCUAAAGUGUAUCAAAUCAGAAAGCAAAAGAUACACAUUGUUGUAAUAAGUUUCUAUUAUUUUAACCAACCAUAAUAAAGAUAGAAAUGAAUUGUUAUCCAUGACAAUGAGCAAUGACUGUUACCACUAAACAGUUGCAGGCCAUCUUUAUUUAAGGGAGGAAUUUAGAAGUGUUGUGUAGCUUCUGAUGAUGAUGCAGUCGUCCACGUGUUGACCACCAUGUUGCUGCUGACGACGUCAGGUGCUGCAGUUCCUCAUCUAUAAAGAGAAGAAACGCACUGUUAAAGAAUGUUUUGAGUUGUGUAUGAAGCACAACAGAUUUCAGAUAGAACCGUUGUACUGUGGUCUGGGUUUGUAUCCUAAUGGUUAAAUGCACAUAUUUUAAGUCGCUUUUGAUAAAAGUACUGAAAGAAAUACAACAUUGUAAAAAUAGAUAAAAUGUCUUUCUACCUCAUCUGUAAUAUUCAAGGUGAUAAUCUCCCACAGAGC